GGCUAAUCUUAUGCUCCCCAUUUUACAGGCCGACACACAUCGGCUAAGAAAGGUGGAGUCACCGGAGGUACCGAGGAGAGACGGGCGCAGCCGGGGCCCAGCCCUGGGAGAACGGGUGAGGGGCCACCAGCCUGGCACCUCGGUUCCUCCCUCUGCGGUAGGCAGACACGGAGGAGAUGAGGUUUCCAGGGCUCUAAGAAUUCGAUGACUCUUCCCUGCCCCCACCCAAUCAAAGGAGCAUACAAACCACAAGGGAACAAAAUAACAACACGGAAAACCACAGCUAGCAGGUAGUAACUGCUGGAGAGUAACUGCUGGGGGGCUGUGCUCUGGGCCCUUUGCAUGACUUCUAUAAUCCUUCCAACAGCCCUGAUGUGCCCACUUCACAGAUCGGGAAACACGCCGAAAUAGCCAGGGGGGAUCUGCGGGUGGGGCACCAUGGCCCACGUCCUGUAGAGAAGGGGAAAUCUGGAUGGGAACCGAGGGUGCUGCCAGGCCCCAUCUGCCCCUCUCCCCCUCCCCACACCGAAUCCCAGGGUGACGGAACUGAAGAAGGGGGCCUCAUCAACCAGAAAGAAGCUUCGGGAAGUGGGAAGUCCGUGUGGGCCCUACUGCCGGGUUUACGAUCCUCUGUAUGUUCUGCGCUCAGCUUUACGUGAAGAAAGUGUUGACGGGCACAGAACAAUUUCACAGAUCCUCGAAGGAGUUCAAUGUCCCGUCUAGUGAAUGGUGGAACUGAGGCCCAGAGAAGGGAAGUGAAUUGCCCUGCGGAAGACAGCAGAGCUGGGACGAGAACUCAUGUCCCAGGUCUCUCGGUGCUGUGCUCGGUGCCUUCGGGAGCCGUGGCCUGACAUUGCCAGCCCUGAGCAAGGACUGAAGCUCCUUGGCUGUCAGACAGAAAUUCCAAGCAAGACCUUUUGGAUUUUGUGAAGCAGGGCUUGCCUAGUAAAAUCGGGUGAAGCCCGGCUUGGGUUUUUCCCUGAGCUUUCCUGAGAUCUGAUUGACAUGUAACAUUGUGUAAGUUUAAGAUGUAGAAAGUGAUGAUUUGAUACAUGUAUACAUUGUGAAAUGUUUCCCAGAAUAAGGUUAGCUGACACAUCCUUCACCUCCCAUAAUUAGCAUGCUGUUAUUGCGGCUGUUAUGGCGAGAACAGUAAAGAGCAAGUCUCCUAGGACCUUCAAGUACACGGUAGGGUAUUGUCACCCAGAGUCGCCAUGCUGCUCACUCCAUCCCCACAUCUUUUUCACCUUAUAACUGAAAGUUUGUACCCUUUCCCCAGCUCUCCCCGCUUCCCCCAGCUCCAGCCCCUGGUAACCAUCCAUCUGCCCUCUGUUUCUAGGAUUUCGAUGUUUUCAGAUUCCACAUGUAAGUGAGAUCAUGUGGAAUUAUCUUUCUUUGUCUGACUCAUUUCACUUAGCAUAAUGCCCUC